CAUUUGCGAAGGGAUAUAGCGUGUAGGGCCUGCGGAAAUGCGCCUUCACGCGGAGGUGCUGGACGAGAUGGAGGGGCAGGAGGAUGAGGGAGCUGUGAUGGCCUCGGCGGCUCUGUCGCCGCCGCUCAUCGGCGCGGCGGCGGCGGCUGCCACGGCCCCCAGGCUAGUGGUGGGCUACGCCCUCACGAAGAAGAAGGUGAAGAGCUUCCUCCAGCCCAAGAUGCUCCUGCUGGCGAGGAAAAACGGAAUCAGUUUUGUCUCUAUUGAUGAGUCUCUUCCCCUCUCAGAACAAGGACCUUUUGAUGUUAUUUUGCACAAGAUUACUAGCAAGGAGUGGCAGCAGGUUCUGGAGGAGUACCUUGAAGAACAUCCAGAAGUUACUGUCCUCGACCCUCCAAAUGCUAUCGAGCAUCUGAACAAUCGACAAUCAAUGCUUGAGGAAGUAGCUGAUUUGAACCUAUCAAAUUUCUAUGGAGAAGUUUGUACCCCACGCCAACUGGUCAUUACGAAAGAUCCAUCCUCUAUACCAACAGCAGUAGCAAUGGCUGGUCUAACUUUGCCCUUGGUUGCCAAGCCAUUGGUUGUUGAUGGAACAUCAAAAGGUCACGAACUAUAUCUUGCAUAUGAUGAGGCCUCCUUGUCAAUGCUUCAUCCACCUCUGGUUCUACAGGAAUUCAUAAACCAUGGCGGUAUCCUCUUUAAGGUCUAUAUCAUUGGUGAAACAGUACAAGUUGUCCGCAGGUUCUCUUCCUGAUGUCAACACAUAUGACUUGCUAAACAACGUUGGCAUCUAUCGAUUGCCAAGAGUUUCAUGUGCCGCAGCUAGUGCAGAUGGUGCAGACCUUGACCCUCUUAUUGUAGAGCUUCCUCCAAGGCCACUUCUAGAGAAACUGGGGAGGGAGCUUCGUAGCCGGCUGGGGUUGAGAUUGUUCAAUGUUGAUAUGAUUAGAGAACUUGGAAACAAAGAUCGGUACUACAUAAUUGACAUCAACUACUUCCCAGGUUUUGGGAAAAUGCCAGGAUAUGAGCACAUGUUCACUGACUUCUUACUGAGUCUUGCACAAAGCAAGUACAAAAGGUACUUAAGCGGGACCUGAAGCGCAAGGGAGUUUGCGAAGAGGCGUCACUGACAAAAUGGCAUAUAACGGUGGCAGCUGUGCUUCCCCACCGAUGUACAAAUUCCGGAGACAUAAGCAUAAGCCGGAGGCUCGAGGAAGUUGCAGUGUGUUUCUUCAGAAGUGGUGGUACAUGCUGGAUCCUGAGUAGGAAUAACCAAGGAAAUGUUUGGAUGGCCUAUGCCCAUGUAGUAAAAUGUUGUUUACUGAAUGCAUACCUUCUUCGUGAUGGCCUCCUUUCAUCAUAAUUUGGCGACCGGUUUUUUUGGGGCCAAGCUUCACCCAA